UACGUAGGUGACCAGCGUUGUCCGGAUUUACUGGGCGUAAAGAGCGCGCAGGCGGUCGUUCAAGUCGAGUGUGAAAGCCCCCGGCUCAACUGGGGAGGGUCAUUCGAUACUGAUCGACUGGAAGGCAGGAGAGGGAAGCGGAAUUCCCGGUGUAGUGGUGAAAUGCGAUAGAUAUCUGGAGGAACACCGGUGGCGAAGGCGGCAUCCUGGACCACGACUGACGCUGAGUGAGCGAAAGCCAGGGAGCAAACGGG
rnacentral:rRNA from 1 species